ACAGGCAAAUUCUGUGUUUGUGGGAUUUAAAGAUUACAAGUGAAUUGUCAAAGAGCUGCCUGCACCUUGCUCGGAUGUUCUUUCAUUCAUUUAUUCAUUCAUUCAUCCAAGAAAUUUUUACAGAUAUGCCAUGUCAGUGACAUUGACUACCUGUGCUGUGUUGUGUAGCAUAAAGUAACAGCAAUUGAUGCAGCCAAAAUACUGUGUGAGAAUUGACUUUUGAGUAGAGAUAUUUCCCCUCAAACAAGGCUAUCCAAUAUUUGCAAUUCAAAAAAAAGACAAAAGAACAGAUAAUUUUGGUCUUACACCUUGUUUGUUUUGAGGGUGUGUCACAAGUUUGACUUAAGGAAGUCGGCUAUUUACAAACUGCGCCUAAAUAAUUUUUGUGUUGGACGAUUAAACCUCAUCUGUUAUUGAUAUGGGCUGCAGUCGGGCCAUUACAGAGUCCCAACAGUACUUACUCCCAGUAAUGGGAAAAUUGAGAGAGAGAGACCAACGCAAUUGCCUCAAGUGGGCCGUGAUGGUCUGGAAGGAGUAGAACAUUUGAAAGCUUUUGUUUGUUUGUGGGAAACCUAUUUCUAGCCAGCAGUUUUAUGUUAUUUGAGCUUUGAUUUGUGGGAAAGAGGUGAAGGAAAU
rnacentral:lncRNA from 1 species